rnacentral:rRNA from 1 species
AACGAACGCUGGCGGCAUGCCUAACACAUGCAAGUCGAGCGAGACCUUCGGGUCUAGUGGCGCACGGGUGCGUAACGCGUGGGAACCUGCCUUUAGGUUCGGAAUAACUCAGAGAAAUUUGAGCUAAUACCGGAUGAUGUCUUCGGACCAAAGAUUUAUCGCCUUUAGAUGGGCCCGCGUUGGAUUAGCUAGUUGGUGGGGUAAAGGCCUACCAAGGCGACGAUCCAUAGCUGGUCUGAGAGGAUGAUCAGCCACACUGGGACUGAGACACGGCCCAGACUCCUACGGGAGGCAGCAGUGGGGAAUAUUGGACAAUGGGCGAAAGCCUGAUCCAGCAAUGCCGCGUGAGUGAUGAAGGCCUUAGGGUUGUAAAGCUCUUUUACCCGAGAUGAUAAUGACAGUAGCGGGAGAAUAAGCUCCGGCUAACUCCGUG